UCAAGUUCAAGUGAUGCUACCUUCGC
rnacentral:piRNA from 1 species